UGAGUAAAAGCUUAUAUGCAACUGGCUGUUAACCAGUAGACAACGAGACUGAGUUCUCGUUUACCCAA
rnacentral:tRNA from 1 species